ACGAACGCUUGCGGCGUGCUUAACACAUGCCAGUCGAACGGAAAGGCCCUGCUUUUGUGGGGUGCUCGAGUGGCGAACGGGUGAGUAACACGUGAGUAACCUGCCCUUGACUUUGGGAUAACUUCAGGAAACUGGGGCUAAUACCGGAUAGGAGCUCCUGCUGCAUGGUGGGGGUUGGAAAGUUUCGGCGGUUGGGGAUGGACUCGCGGCUUAUCAGCUUGUUGGUGGGGUAGUGGCUUACCAAGGCUUUGACGGGUAGCCGGCCUGAGAGGGUGACCGGCCACAUUGGGACUGAGAUACGGCCCAGACUCCUACGGGAGGCAGGAGUGGGGAAUAUUGCACCAUGGGCGGAAGCCUGAUGCAGCAACGCCGCGUGCGGGAUGACGGCCUUCGGGUUGUAAACCGCUUUCGCCUGUGACGAAGCGUGAGUGACGGUAAUGGGUAAAGAAGCACCGGCUAACUACGUG
rnacentral:rRNA from 1 species